rnacentral:tRNA from 1 species
GGGGGUGUGGCUCAGUGGUAGAGUGCUUGUCUACCAAGCAGGAGGUCCUGAGGUCCUGAACUUAACUCCAAGCACUGCCA